UGGGAUUCUAACUAGCCUGGCCCACA
rnacentral:piRNA from 1 species